rnacentral:rRNA from 1 species
CCCUUAGAUGUCCUGGGCUGCACGCGCGCUACACUGGAAGUUACGGAUUGAGAUACUACCUUGUCCGAAAUGGUCCGGGUAAUCACCUAAAAGCUUGUCAUAAUUGGAAUGGAUUAUUGUAACUAGUAAUCCUGAACGAGGAAUUCCUAGUAAGUCCCAGUCAACAGCUGGUACUGCUUACGUCCCUGCCCUUUGUACACACCGCCCGUCGCUACUACUGAUUGGACGUUUAAGCAAGAUUUUUAAACACUGACAGUGUGUAGUUCACGCUAUACUACAGUGAGAAGAAGAAGAUCGAGCUUACUUGUCUAGAGGAAGUAAAAGUCGUAACA